AAGGCCUGAUGUGUGUGAGAUUACCCGCUGAAUUUAAGCAUAUAAGUAAGCGGAGGAAAAGAAACUAACUAGGAUUCCCUUAGUAAUGGCGAAUGAACAGGGAUCAGCUCAGUGCCAAAUCGGAAUCACUUGUGGUUCUGAAAUGUGGCUUGAAGGCAGUACCAGUGGCAUCGCGGACGAAAGUCUCUUGGAAAAGAGCGUCAUAGAGGGUGAGAAUCCCGUGAGUCGUUCGCCGUUUGUCACGUACGGUCUGCGUUCUAACGAGUCGCGUUCCUUUGGGAUGGAGCGUAAACGGGUGGUAAUUUCAUCCAAAGCAAAAUAUAUACUCGAGACCGAUAGCACAAAAGUACCGUGAGGGAAAGGUGAAAAGAACUUUGAGAAGAGGGU
rnacentral:ncRNA from 1 species